rnacentral:lncRNA from 1 species
CAAUAUCAAGCCCAAUUUAAAGUCAACCCGGAGUUGGGUUGACCCGAUACCCAUCCAAAUUCGACUCGUUUCUUUCUUUUGCUAACAAUCCACUCAGUAUCUCCUCCAUGGAAGCAUCGAAUCCGUCCAUCUGCUCCACUUUGUCUCUCAUCUCCAUCCAAUCCUGAACAUCGAAAUUCCCUAUUUACCCUCCUCGCCCUAUCAAAUUUCCCCCAUCGCCCGAAUUUUCCAUGGCUUGACCCGGAAAUCCGACUCAAAUGGACUCUCUGCAAAGUCUCCCUCCACUAUCGACUCUGUCCACCUCAGUUUCCUCCGCCCUCAACGCUAAACUCGGCACCAACCAUGAUCUAACCCAAGCACCAAGUAUCGUCGCCGAGUUUCUGACUCAGUGCGAUGAUCUGGAACGAAAUCUAGUCCACCUCAACCGCACCCUCGAGUCAAACCUCGCAUCUUACGCUUCCUACGGAGUUGAUGAAUAAUUGAAUGUUGAUCCUAGUGAUUUACUUAAUCAAGGAUUAUACGAGGAGCCUGAGUCUGAUUUGAUAAUACAAACUCUUACGGAGCGAGAAGAAAGAGAAGAAACAAGAGAAUGGUCUGCUAAGAGAGACGAAAUUACACAAUCUAUGUGGACUAAUUAUAUGGUUAGAAAUAUUAGGUAGGUUUAGGGCUUAGGGUUAUUGUUUCUAUGUUAUGUAUGUUUUAAUAUUAAAAUUGUUUUUUUUUGUUAAUGUUGGUUGGAUAAUGAUAUUGAAAUUUUAGUUUGUUGGCUUUUGAAAUUAUUAUGUCUUGAAUUUGAUAGAUAUUGAUUAUGUUUUAAGCUUGUUAGAUAUUGAAUUUAUUAUGUUUUAAGCUUGUUGAAUAUUGAAUUUAUUAUGUUUUAAGCUUGUUGGAUAUUGAAAUAAUUGACAAUGACAAUUAUUAAUAUAGAAUGGGUAAGGGCAACAAAGAAGGGACCUCCAAGCAAUUCUGGUGGACAAAGUCGAUAUAACAUCUUUUUCUUGAAAUUCUAGCAUAUGAGGCCCAGAAAGGAAAUAAACCUUUUAAUACUUUCAAAGAAGUUUCUAUUAAUCGAGUUGCUGAAGCUAUUUCUAAAAGAUUUCAAGUCCAAUGUGAUGCGAAGCAUGUGGAAAAUCAUUUGAGGACUGUAAAAAAUCAGUAGCAGAUUAUAUGUACAAUUCGGGGUGAAAGUGGUUUUGAAUGGGAUGAUAACAUGAAAAUGAUCACAUGUGAUAGAGCGACAUAUGAUGCAGCAGUGAUGGUAAUAUAUGUAUAUAUAUGUUAAGUAUAUUUCAAUUGUUUUUUACUUGUUAUUCUAAUUGUGUAUAAUAUCCAACAGUCACACAAGAAGUAUGAACCAUUUUUGAAUAAAAGCAUUGAUCAUUAUGAUGAAAUGACUUUGGUUGUUGGAAAAGAUAUGGCAACAUGGAGUUUUGCCAGAACAUUUGCUGACAUAGAUUUGGAUGAUGGUAACCAAGAUUCAGUGCCUAUAGACUGCGACAAUGAAGAAACUGAAGAGGUAAGAACAAAAGUAUCUUCAUCUGGCACAUCCAAACGUAAAAGAAAAAAUGUUCAAGAAAGUGUCGUUCAUGAACAAAUUAAAUUUGUGGGUAAACAACUUGGCAAAAUUGCUAAUGCUUUGGAACAAUUUACUGCGGAUAAGACACCACAUCUUUACGAAGAAGUGAUGUCGAUGGAGGAAGAAGAAUUUGAUGAUGACUUCCUGUGUUCUGUGUUUGAUUAUCUAGUGAAUCAUGAAUGCGAGCCCAAAGCUUUUUUAGUUAAAAGUAAGAAGCGUAAAAAGAUUUGGCUUCAAAAAUUUUCUCAAGGUUGAAGAUAUUGAUACUUUUUUUAAUAUGGAGUAAUAUUAGUUAUGCACUUGGACAAUGUUGUUAUUAUGUGGUGUACUACUAAUUAUGCAUUUGGAUAAUAUUAUUAAUUUCUAGUAUUAAUUGUGGUUUGGAAGCUAAUUUAUAAGUAUUCAAUCCUUGUUUUUUUUUUUUUAUAACACAAUUACAAAUAAUUUUUUGACUUUGGUUGUUUUCAAUUUAUGACGGUUAAUAUUCUAGCUUAAUAAUUGAGUAUUAUUAUAUAUUUAAUUUUAUUUAUUUAUAAAUAAAUCAUUGCAAUAUAUGUAAAAAUAAUUUAAAAUAUAAAUUUAUUAAUAUAUGUAAAAGCAGAUUUUCCGGAAAAUAUUUUCAGGAAAUCUGCUAAACAACAGCAAAUAUUUUACACAGAUUCAUCCAAACACCAGAAAAAAAAUCAUUUCCAGAAAAGUAAAAUAUUUUCCAAAAAUCAUUUUCCAGAAAAUAUUUUACUGGAAAACAAACGGAGCCUAAAACCCAUUCAUUUUACCCGUGUCUUGGAAAACAUUUUCCAAAUGUAAAAUAUUUUCAAGCUUCCAAACACCGUAAAACCAGGAAAAUAUUUUCCUGGCAAACAAACGGACCCUUAAUUUCAACCAUAGAAUAACAAAAAAUAUUUUUUUUUGCAUAUUGAAACAUAACAACUGAAAUACCAGAACACUAUAAAGAAUAAUUCUUCUUGACUAACUAAACAAAAAUUAAGUGCUUUUGCUUAAAUUUAAUAAGAAUUUUAGAAUUCCUAUAAUCUAUGACAUUUUAGAACUCUCACCUGCAUAUGCUCAGACCGCUUCCACUCUGGCCACCUCCUUAGCCAACAACGACAACUCCUCUCCCAACCCUUCUCCAUCUAUAACACAGAAGUUUUCGCAUAGAAAAAGAAUAAGAUAAAACCAGUGCUCUUCAUGUACAAACUCAAAAACAAAAGAAGAAGAAGAAGAAGAGAAAAUCAAUAUCAAACUCAAAAACUUUGCUUUCUCUCUUUUGCACUUCAUUUAAAAAGAUUAUUGAUAAUAGAAGGUGAGAAGUAUUGGCCCUGAGAUACCAACAAAUAUUAUCUGAAUGUUUGCAGCGCGCUCAAUGGAAGAGGUCGAUGUGCUAUGUGAUCGAUUAGGAAUUUUUGUAGAUGGCGCGUUACAGUGCAUAGGAAAUGCAAAAGAGGUUAGUUUGGCUCUAAUAGUAAUUUUCUCAACUUGAUAAAACUUUCAUUCCUCUCAUCUUUUACACAGUAGACACCCUAUCCAUAGACCAGAGCUUUUGAACUAAUCCUCUUAUCUGCAAAAUUUCUAUUCUAUUAUAUUUAAGAUAUCUAUUUAAUCUUCUAUUUUUUUCCAAACACUUUCUUCUAAAGUUUGUUUGGGUGUUUGGUGUGAGAAAAGCUAGGUUAACCUAUGAUUGGUGUGUAUGGCAACUGAAGGGCAGAUAUAGAGAAUCUUACAUAUUCAUUAUAACAACAUCUUCAAGUAAAAAGGAAGAAAUGGAGAACAUGGUACAAUAUCUCUCCCUAAAUGCUAACAAGAUAUACCGAAUCUCGGGAACACAGAAGUUCGAGAUGCCAAAGUAAGAGGUGAGAAUAGCAGAUGUAUUCCAAGCAGUUGAGAAUGCAAAGAGUAGGUUUACAGUGUUCGCAUGGGGUUUGGCUGACACCACUCUUGAGGAUGUCUUCAUCAAGGUUGCUCGUGGGGCGCAGGUCGUCAAUAUAUUAUCAUGAUUCUCACAUUCUCUUCUUUUUAUUAUAUCUACGAUGUUCAUAUAUGAUAAACUAUUUCAUUCUUUUUUUCUUUUUGAACUAGAAGCAUUUCGUUCAUCUGGAGAUAUGGUUGUAGUGUUGUUUUUUGUUUUUGUCAUAUACGCAUUUACUUUGUAAAUGUUAAGUAUGACUCCUAUUUCAGUCAAAUUUGAGAAAUAAUCUUUUAGUUAAACUCUGUUUAUUUGUUUCAAUCAAACACUGAUUAGUUUAGAUUAUUUUAUUAUUAUUUGACAUAUGAAUUUAGGCUAUAAAUAGGCUCUUUUACAACCUUAAAAAUUACACCCAUUAGAUAUUAGAACUCAUAACACAUUUAGAGAAUUUUGUGUUUACGUUUUGAAGGUUCUUUAUUUUUGGGUUUUCGGGGUUUAGUUUUUAUCUCCAUCUUUUUGUACUUUUUGUUUCUUUUGCCAUUAUAGUAAAAUUAUCUUUGCCCGUAGUUUUUAUCUUCUUUAGAGGAGUUUUUCUACGUUAAAUUUGUGUGUUCAAUUUCUUAAUUUCUUCUGUUAUUUUUACUUGUUCCUUACUUAAUCGGGUCAAUCUCUAACAAGUGGUAUCAGAGCUAGUUCAAUUUUCAUAAAUCAGCCCAUUCAGAUAUGACAGCAACAAUGUUUGAAAUUGAGAAGUUUGAUGGUGAGACAAAUUUUAAUCUCUGGCAAGUUCGGAUGAUAGCAAUUCUAGUUCAAUCCGGUUUGAAAAAGGUUGUUACCGAAAAAAAGCCUAAGAAUCUAAAUAAAACAGAAUGAGAAGAGCUUGAUGAAAAGGCUUUGUCUGCAAUCUAGUUGUGCUUUCGAAUACGGUAUUACAGGAGGUAUUGAUGGAGAAGACCUCAUCUGCCUUGUAGAACAUGUUAGAAACUCUUUAUGUAACUAAGUCUCUGGUUAAUCGUUUAGUGUUGAAAUAACGUCUAUUUACGUUUCGCAUGAACGAAGAUGAGCUUCUUAGAGAUCACAUCAGUCAAUUCAUUACUCUUUUAAAUAAUUUAAAGAAUGUUGAGGUUCAUAUUGAUGAUGAAGAUCAAGUUAUACUAUUAUUGUGCUCUUUACCCCAUUCAUACAAGUCUUUCAGGGAGACCUUGAUUUAUGGCAGAGACAAACUCUCGUUCGAAGAUGUGAAGGGUCAUUUGUUGAGUAGAGACAAACUUGACAAUGAGCUUCAUUUGGAUAGCAAGGCAGAUAGGCAAGCUUCUGUUUUGAUAGCAUCAAAGAAAUGAGACAAAAGGUGUCGCUAUUGAAAAAAGUUAGGUAACGUCAAAGCAGAUUGUUAUAAACUGUGAAAUAAAAGAACUGCUAAAAGUAACGAGGAAGAUGUAACUGGUGCUAAUUUGGCCGAUGAAAGCGGUGAUGAUUUUUUGUUAGUGUCAACGAGCGAUAACUCCAAGCUCACGUCCGAGUGGAUCCUAGAUUCAGGAUGUUCUUUCCACAUGUGUCCCAAUAGAGAAUGAUUCUCCACAUAUAGUUCGGUUGAAGGUAGAGUUGUGCGCAUGGGAAACGAUUCAUCUAGUAAGGUAAUUGGUAUUGGUAUUGUUAAAAUUAAGAUACACGAUGGGACGAUUAGGAUAUUUUCAGAUGUCAGGUAUGUACCUGAUUUACGAAAGAAUCACAUCUACUUGUGUAUUUUAGACUUGAAAGGAUGCAGAAUCAACAUCGAGUCGAGCGACAUUAAAGUAUCUCGUGAAGCUAUCAUUUUGUUAAAAGGUAAAAGAACUGGCAGUCUUUACAUUCUAGAAGGUUCUACAGUGACUGGUGAAAUCGGACAUCCCUCGUCCGUUACAGAGUCGAAGUCAACUCGUUUGAAGCGGAGACAACUUGUUCAUGAGAGGAAAAAAUGUAUGACCGUUUCGUUGAAGAGAGUUUUUUUUUGGAUGCAGGUUUUAAAAAGUUAGGGCACUGUGUUCGUGAAAAUCAGACCCGGGUUAGUUUUGAUUUGGCAGUGUACAAAUCGAAGGUUAGAAGUCUUCCAGUUUCUAAGCACAGAUUCGACUCAAUUAAUUCCCUGCAUAGUUCAGGAUAGGCUCGUGACGAGCUUUGGCAAAGAUGGUGUUGUAGAAAUAUGAGUCAAGGUGGAGAUUUAUUAAGUAUGACUCAUAUUUCAGUCAAAUUUGAGAAAUAAUCUUAUAGUUAAACUCUGUUUAUUUGUCUCAAUCAAACACUGAUUAGUUUAGAUUAUUUUAUUAUUUUUUAAUAUGAAUUUAGCCUAUAAAUAGGCUCUUUUACAACCUUAGAAAAUACACCCAUUAGAUAUUAGAACUCAUAACACAUUUAGAGAAUUUUGUGUUUACGUUUUGCGGGUUCUUUGUUUUCGGGUUUUCGGGGUUUAGUUUUUAUCAUUAUCUUUUUGUACUCUUCGUUUCUUUUGCCAUUAUAGUAAAAUUAUCUUUGUCCGUGGUUUUUUAUCCUCUUUGGAGGAGUUUUUUCACGUUAAAUUUGUGUGUUCAAUUUCUCAAUUUCUUCUGUUAUUUUUACUUAUUUCUUGCUUAAUCGGGUCAAUCUCUAACAAUAAAUGAAUUGGAUUCUCCUUUCUUAUUUAUGGAUUAUAUAAAACUAGAAUUUGUGUUACAAGAGAAUGUAAGAGAAUGUGUGUGAUGCUACUCUAUAAUAUAAUGUAAAGAAUGUGACAAUGUUGCUUCUAGCAAAGUGGGGUUGCAGCAAGAAGAGAUUAUGGUGGCUAAGCAUCCACAAGUGAGGUCAAGUAUAAAAACUGAUGUAAAAGUAACAUAAUUUUGUGGGUUAUUUGAAUGAUAAUUUACAUUUGAUGCAUUUUAAAUUAACCAGUUAAUUGACUUAUAAUUCCCAUUAAAAAAAACCUUUCAUAUAAAAUUAGCACUUGUAGUACAUUGCUACUUAAAUUUUUUUUGGAUACUGGCAUAAUAAUCCCAAUGAGAAGGAGACCUCUCACCUCAACACGGCCAAGUUAUUAUUAAGUGAAUAAUAGGUAAAAGAUUAAAAAAGAAAAAGAAAAAUAUGAAAAUCAAAUUGGAAGUUUUAAAAAUAUAUAAAAAUUCUGAAAAUUUUAACAAAUCAAUAUUAAAAUAAAUUAAAACUUUAGAAAAUAUAAAAAUAAUAUUUGCUUAAAACUAUAUUUCUUAAAUGGAGCUACUGUGUUUGUAAUUGAAAUUAUCUUAUUAUAAAAUUUACCUAAUUCAAGUUUAAUUUAUCUAAUUUUCUUAUUCUAAAGAUGAAUUAUAAAAUUUUGGUAUAUUAAUUUAAAAUUUGAUAAAUUUUGUAAAGUAAAUUUAUCAUUUUGGGUUAAAGCCAUUACCUACGAAUUACCCAUUACAAUUAUAAUUAUUUGUGUAUGUAAUAAAUAUACAUAAAAUGAUGAUAUAAAAAUUAAAUUAAAAUAAAAAUUUUGAUACGUGUAAUUCAGUCCAUGUGUGAACAGAGAGCUGGAAUGGUAGGAAUAAUAAAUUCUUCAUAUUUGGAGAUUAGUUAGAGUAAGAUUUUUGAAGUUUUCUGAGAGAAUCUGACAUAAAUGAGAAAAGAAAAAAUAUAGUAAAGAAAUGAAUGUGUAUAUCCAAAUAAAAAGAGAGAGAAAGGGAAACUUCUUGUAAAUAUAUUAACCAAUGGUUAGACGACGUAUAUAUGGUAAUUAACCUUUGUUAUAUUUUAAAAUUCAUUUAAAAAUAAAUACAUAAAAAUCUCUUAAAUUGGUAAGUAAUCUUAAGAGGAUUCUUUCUUUUUAUUAAACACAAAGACAAAAAGCCAGAGAAAAAAAAUCCAAAUCUGAACACCUGUAUUGCCGAUGCCAUUUCAAGAGAAUGGGCCCCACCAUUUUGACCGUUUUUUCCGUCCCACGAUAUUACUCAAAAGAUUUUCAAUUUUAGAAAAUAAUAACAAAUUAUUGUUUUUAAUUUAAGAAUUUAUCAUUAUCUCAUUUAUUUAGUUUAAUUUUAAAAUAUUUUAAAAUUUAAUUAAAUAUUGAUGUGUUAUAUACGUGGUAAUCUACAUGUAUGUUAUGUAAUAAAAUUAACAAACACUAAUUUUUCCAUCCAAUUUUAGGUGAUUUAACAAAAAAAAAUACGAGUUCAAUGGUUAAAAGAGGCGAAAAAUUAAAUAGAGGGUUAAAAUGUAAUUUUUAUAAAGUUUGAAGUCCAAAAAUUUUUUUAUGCCUAUGCAAAACAUCAUCAUCCAUCAAAAUUAAGGUUAUAAAAUGUAAAAGGCAAGUCCUUGUUUUGACUAAAUAAUUGUUAUGUUAGCUCAAUAAAAAAUGCACCUUUCUUAUUUUUUACUGAAAAUAUUAACUUCAACUUUGGGUAUAUAUAAAUUUUUAUGAAUUCAUGAAGUUGAAUUUUAAGGAAAGCUAAUUUAAAGUAACAUGGAUUCAUUUGAACAUGGAUUCAUAUGAUACAUAGUAUAAAUUAUAAAUAAAUCGCUACAAAAUUAACUAUAACAAUGAAACAAUUGCAUCAACUUUAUCAAAUUAUUGAAAUUUACACCCUUUCCGGUAUCAUCAUCAAAUAAACUUGACACACCAUAUCGGAAAUGCACAAAAGGCCAAGUCUCAGAUGACUUAUCCUCAUCCUCAUCAUCUCGGAUCUAUCAUCAUCACUAUGAUCUAUCAUGAUAAAGCGUUUCGAGAACAAAUCUUAAAUGAUCUGGCAACACCCUUAGAUUGACAAACUUCACAUAUGCCAGGACAUGACUGAAAAUAGAAAGAAAAAAUACAACCACAUCUGUUUUCAAAGAAAACAGAGUGGAAAAAACAAAAAUCACAAAAAAUGUAAACAAAAUAAAACUACAAAAUUGUGGACAAAACUGCGAUAAUGUGGACUGAAAUUAAAAAAAUAGAACUACAAAAGAUAUUGAAGAAACCGUGAUCAACAACCUACCCAAAAGCCAACGUUGCCGAUGAAACAAAGAUUUAAUUUGAAAAAGUUGAGAGUCUAGGGCUUUUCUAUGGAAAGAAGUGAGAAAGAAGAGAGAGGGAAAUAUUUGCCAUUAGUUUUAAAUAGUAUGUAUUUAAAUUGACUCGAUUAAAACUUUCAUUUUUUUUUGGUGAAAAAUGAUAAACAGAAAUACAACGUAACAACUACUGAAAGGCUCUAGAAGCUUUGUCUUGUUAGAUAGUCGUAACCACCAAAUCAAGAGGUACUUUAAAGAUCUGAAGGGAAGUCUAACAAAAGAGACUAAUCUUUGCCAAUUGAUCUGCAAUUAAAUUACACUACUAGGAACAUACUUGGCUUCUCGCUGACUAUCAGAGCACAAAAAACGUUUAACUCUUCUAAGCAAGGCAAUACCGGAGUCCACUAACUCCUCCAUGGAUAAGACCGUAAUCACCUCAAGGUUAUCUGUCUAAAUCAUGACUUUCUUUUAGCUAUUAUUUAAAAAAAAUGAGAAUUCCAUCAAGAAUACCCUAAAGUUCUGCCUCCAAAGGCGAACAUCUACCCAAAUAAUGAUUAAAGCCCAAAAUCCAAUUGCCAACCUGAUCACGAAUCACCCCACUCACAGAUGCAUUUCUAGAAGCUCUAGCCACUGCUCCAUCAGAAAAUAAAUAGAUCCAAUUGUCUUCAUAAUGGGAGUGAAUUUCCCAAUUGGUUGAGUUAGGCUUGGCCUCAUUUAGAAAAGGUUCAAAUAGUUUGGCCCAAUUGAGAGAGACUUUUACAAUUUCAUAAGUCGUCCAAUUAAUGUUUUGGAAGAUGAAAAGAUUCCCAUUCUUCCAAAUUCUCCAAGAAAUUAAUCCAAAUAAGCAUGACCAAGUAAUUCCCUUAUCUUGCAUCUUAAAAUGAAAACCAAGGUUAGUGGAAAACCAAUUUUCAAGGGAAUCAGAAAAAAACCUGGAUUGCACAAUGCCCUUAGUAUCAGAGAACAGUCUCAGAGAACAUGCACAAUGUCCUUAGUAUCAUGACCACAUAAUGAGCACAUGCAUAAUGUCCUUAGUAUCAUGACCACAUAAUGAGCACAUAUUGUUUUGCCCAAUUCCUCUCUUAGCGCGUUCUGAAUUAGUAAGAAGCCUCUGUUUUACAACAAGUCAUAGAAAAAGGAGGACUUCUUGUGGGCCUUGAUAUUUCCAAAUAGGCUUCCAAAAAUCAUCUUUAGGACUCCAAGAAUCUUCUUUUAAAACCCAGUAAGCAUUACGAACAGAAAAAGACCUGAACCGGAUCAAGCCCAAAUGAUCCUAUCCUCACCACCAGCAAAAUGAGGAGGGCGCAUACUUACUAUACGCUUUAUCACGUCAUCAGGUAGCCAAGUAUGAAGCAAAUCAAUAUUCCAAGAACCACCAAGAAGAACCCAAUCCCUUAAAUUACUCUCCAAAUCUAGGCUUGCAUGCACUGGGACAUAAGAAAAAAGAGGACUAACUUUCGGUACCUAAGAAUCUUUCCAACCACGAAUUGUAGAGCCAUCACCUACAGACCACAUGAGAUUCUCAUAAAAAAAAGGUCACACCUUAGAAAGGGAACGCCAAAGAUGAAAGCAUUGAUUUCUGUGAAUAUAAUUUGGAAGCUGAUUCUUCCAACCAUAUAAGUUAAACCGUUAUAAGUUAAUAAAGUCAAUGGAAUUUAUUUUAACUUAUUGAUGUAUAUGUUAAAAUAAAACGGUUUUUUCAUAUUUAAUCGAUAAAGUACUAGUUGUUUUAUUCAAAAUAAUUAAUAGAACAGAAGAACAUUAAUCUAGAUUCGACUGUUGUGGAAGACGACAAAUAAUACAUAUAAUUAUAUCAAUUUUUUAGUAAAUUCAUUUAAUAUACUUCCACCAAAACCUUAAUUUAGUCGAAAUCCUUUUUUGUCGAUUAUGGUUUUUUUUCUUGUUUUCAUAGUAUCUAAUUUGACACGAUCAAAACCCUAAUUAAGAUCAAGAUUAUAAAGUCAACCAAGUCAAGAGGGUUUAUGUUAACUUUUUCAUGCAUAUAAGUUAAGAUAAAGGUUUUUUUAUUCAAAUUUGAUAAAAAAGAAGUAGUGGUUUUAUUCAAUAAUUGAUAGAACAUAAGAACAUUAAUUAAGAUCCGAUCAUUGUGAAAAAUAUUUUCCUCUAAAAGCAUUGAAUAAGACCACAUUGUCUUACUCCACCAACACAAUCUAAUCUUACAGAUGUCAAACAACAAAUGAAUGUUGAGAUGUUUACCAUUAAAGCAGGGGUGAAAAUAAAAACUUUUUAUUGGAAGGCGAAGAUUGAAUUUUUUGGGGGGGAUCUUUAGCAUUUAAUUAAUUGUAAAGUUCACAAAUUUAAAUGAUUAAAAGAGAAAUUUUACCAAGCCAAAGGGGGCCAAGGACCUUGCCUGCCCCCUUGGUGCCACUCUUGUAUUAAAGACAAUCUCGUUUUGAUAAAUCCAAAUAGACUAUGAAAUAACAAAGAAAGACAUUUUCCAAAUAUGCCUAGUUCGUUGGAAAUAAAAAUUUUGUAGCCAAGUUUGAAAAAAAGAUAGUUGGAUCCUUUGGAAAAACCAAAUGAAUACUCCAAAUAGCGCAACACUUUUGCAAUAACCUCCAUGAAACAUCACACUCAAUAAACAAGUGAUCAAUCGAAAUUGAACUUGCAUGAUAGAAAGUGCAAGUCGUAGAAUUAAAGAGGAAUAGCCCCUCUUAGCUAGCUCAUAUUUUGUAGGAUGCCUACCAUAAAGUAAUCGUCAUACAAACAUUUCCACCUUAAGUUGGUCAAUCUAGACUUUGUUUCCACCAAUUAUUCUUGUAACACGAUCCGAGCUAUGAAAUGCUAUAUUCGCUUUCGGAACAACCAUAAUCAAUCAGACAACACAAUCAUUUAUACAUGAAAUCAAGAGUUUAUCAUAUUCAAAAUUAUGUUAAAUGACCAAUUCUGAAUCUUAAUCGAGCUUAUGAAAGCUCUUUAGACAAUCCGAGUACGAAACAUGACCAAUUUGCAAAGUUCAGACAAGACACUAUUGACAUGCCAAUCGUAUCCUAACAUUUACUAAGUUCACAAGGGCAUCUUUAACACAUGUAAACAUUUUUUUUCAAUUUAGUCCAAUUCUAGCCUUUUGAACCAAUUCACAACUAAACACAUAUAUAAUUACAAAUCAAAUGUACAAAAACCUAUAUAAACAAAUACCAUAUGAACUUAUCUGAUUAAAACAACAAACAAAUUGAAUCUUCAGGGACUAAUCGACAAUUUUGUCUUUUUCUCGAUUGUCUCCGGUUUGAUCCAAUUCUUGAUCUAUACAAUUAUUCCAUUCAAUCACAUAAAAAAAAUUUACAAACACCCUCUAAUACUACGAACCUGAAGCUUCGAAAGAGACUUUUCUUGAUCAAAGUCUUCACUUUUCUUAAGGGCAUUUCCAUUCUUCUUAGUUUCACUAUUCUCCAUCAGUGUUUGCUCCUUUUUAGUACCUUUCUCACUUCUAUUGUUGUCCACCUUGUUCACCCUUUGACCUUGGUCAAACCCCUUCUCUUGAGAUUUAAAUUUUCUCCAGAAAGACGAUCUUUGAUUAAAUCUGGCCAUUCUUGUGAAGACAUGACUUCCAAACACAACAUAUCCAUUAAGCUUGGCGAUGGCUCUACGAGCUUCCAGAAACUUGGGAAACCUUACGAAGCCAAAACAUUGUCCUCUCAUACUAUGUUUUCUUGGAAUAAAAGCAUUUAUAACAUGACCGUGAUAACCAAAAAUUUUCCAUAACCCUUUCCAAAAGAGUUUUUUUUGGUAAUCUCUCCAUGAAAAUGGUUGAACACCCUUUAUUCCCUCCACAAAACCGAAACACCAUCUCAAAAUAAUCCCAAUUGCCACAUAUAAAGUAAGGUUUUUGUUUCACAUUGGAUUAGAAAAGUACUAAUUUCUUUAAUCAAAAUAAUUAAUAGAACAUAAGAACAUCAACCAAGGUUCAAUCUUUUUUUUUGUCGAAACCAGGAUAUCCACUGCCAAUAGUGGUGACUAAUACUUUCACCACAGGUGCUCUCCAAAGAGGUAAACGACUGGCCAGGAAAUGUACUCUGUUCCCAUGGGCAGGGAUCAAACCCCCGACCUCAUGGUCAUGGAGGAUCCGAUCGUUUUGAAAAACAACAAAAAAUAGAUACAUUAAUAUUAAUUUUUGAAGUAUAAAUUAAUUUAAUGUGAUUUGACCGAAAUCUUAAUUUAGAUCAAAUUCUUUCUUUACCGAUUAUAUUUCUUUAUUUGUUUCCAUAGUAUUGAUUUGACUCGAUCAAAGCCCUAAUUAGGAUGAACAUUAAAAGAUUAAAAUUCAAUUAAACUUAUUGACAUAUAUGUGUUAAAAUAAAAGUACUUUUAUUCACAUCCUAUCAGAAAAGUACUAGUUGAUUUAUUCAAAAUAAUUAAUAGAACAUGAGAACAUUAAUCAAGGUUCGAUCAUUCUGAAAAACAGCAAAAAAUGUAUACAAUUAUUUUAAAAUUUGAAGUACAAGUUCAUUUAAUUUGAUUCGACCGAAAUCGUAAUUUAGAUGAAAUUCUUUUUUUUUUGAAUUUAUUUUUUUAUUUGUCUUCAUAAUAUAGUAUGUAUUUGGUUUAACUUAAUCAAAACCCUACGUAAAAUUGACAUAAAUAUGUUAAAAUAAAAUGAGGAAGGAAUGCACAUGCUAGGGUUUUAUGGCCAAAUGGGAAAUCCUUCACCAUUCCAGCCAACAAGUGAGUGACAUAAUUCACCUCCCUUGGAAUCUGUUCAAAACCAACUCUCCAUUCAUGACUACAUAACUCCCGAAUUUUUAGAACCAAAUUUCUAUGUAAAUACCCUAUCAAACCACCAUUGAUACUUUAAUAGCAAGUGUGCAAUCUGUUUCAAUAUCUCUCCAUUUAGCAUCCCAUGCCAUAAUAAGACCGUCGUAAAUUACCCAUACCUCCGCUUACUCAACACUAUACCUGUCGAUAUUUCUACCUAUUCUACACACCCAAUUAUUGUACUCAUCUCUCGCCACUACUGCCGAGGCUAGUAAACCUGAAACUGGACUACAAGUACCAUCGAUAUUCAAUUUAAUGAAUCCGGAAGGAGGUGAAACCCACAUUCGAUUCCCAUGGUAGGAUAAUUAUUUAAAUAUAUGCUUAAAAUAUAUAGGCAACUCUAUUAAUUGUGUUUGAAAACUUAAAAAAAAAAUACUAACCAUUACAAAUAUCAUAAAAGGAAGGUUGGUGAGAAAAAAAGGAAAGAAAAAAAUGCAUGCAAAAACAGUUCUGAUAAUUUUAAAUACAAUAUAAUUAUAAAACAAUGUGAAAAAUUUAUAAAAAAUAUAAAUACAGAACAAAAUAUAUAAAUAAUUAUAAUUUUUCAGUGAAGACUAAAGAGGGUCUGGAAUUUCAAACACGUGAGGAAAACAUGGUUCGUAGUUUGGUUUUCCUUUGGUUGGGAUCACAAUUCUUAAACAACAACUCCCUUCCAUAGAAGUUGUAGGCCCCACCUUUUCCUUCCUUUUUUUUUCUUUCUUGUUAAAAAUAAUUUUAAAAAAAUUACAAUUUUAAAUAUUUUUUCUUUCAGUUAUAAAUUCACUUCUCUUUCACCCAUUUUUUUAUAAGCUCUCUCUCUCUCACUCUGUAAGUGAAUAUAAACUAUAGCUAGAGAAAGAGAGAAUUUGAAGCAAAUUGAGCUUUUGUUUUGUUAAUUUAAUCCCCGAAUAGCUAAAAGCUUCAGCCCCUUUGUUAUCCAAUUUGUAAGCCCUUUUUUCCGUUUCUUUUAUGAUGGUUUGUGGAUUCUUUUUCAACUUUCUCAUUUUCAUUGUUAAAGCUUAUGGUUUCUUUUUCUUUUUUUCUUUUUGUUUUUUUAUUGAAUUUCUCUUUAAGGGCAGCAUCUACUAUAAAAUGAGAGCAAACCCUUUUUUUAUUAUUUGAAAUGUAUUGAUUUUAGUGAAGGGUAGAUCGUUUAUCUUGGUUACAUUUUGGAGCUAAAUUUAGAUUUGAUUUUCACUGUUUAUUGUCAAAAGAUGUGGCAUGUGAUUGACUCUUGAUGAGUUUUCUUUCCUUUUCUCACGGUUUCUUAACUUUAUAUGUGUUCAUAGAAGUGAAAUAAAAAGAUAACAUCUUUUGGAUAAUUAUCAUUUCUCAUUCAUGUUGUAGAUUUUAAUUUUCAAGUUAUUUCUGCUUUGUAAAGAGCAUCAAGUUGUAAGUUUUAUCAUAUUGUUUGAUUUUUUAAUUCUUGGUUUUGAUUACUAGACUAUUCUUGUUAUAAGACUUGCUUUUGAUGAUAAGCAUUAUUUUGUAUUUUUUUUUGUGAUAAUUUUUUUUUUGGCUUUGUUUGGGUUGAUAGAAGUGUGCUAUUCCUUUUCUUCUAAAUUGAGUUUUUUUUCUUGAGAUUAGCAUGAAUAGUGUAUUUCAGCUCUCCUGUAAUUAAUUUCUGCAGGGCUUUUAUAAUAAUUUUUUGUUGCAUUUUAUGGAAUUCUAUGAUAUGUGAAUUGAUGCAUUUCCUAUAAAAAUUAUUCGAUGCAUUUCCUAUAAAAAUUAUUCUCUCUCUCUCUUUAUAUAAUAUUUUUAUAUUUCAUGUAAUGACUGAUCAAGUUUACAUAUUAUUAUCAUGAAGAACAAAAAGGAAGGUUUCUGGUUCUCUCACAAAGCUAGAACUAGUAAGAAGACGAAGAAGAUCUUAUGGCGAAAAGGGGUGUCAAAGUACUCAAAGGUGACGAGAAGAAGGAAAAAAGGGAGGAUAUGUGGCUUGCCCAAAUUGGCCAACGAGAAAACCACCGCUAUGCUUCAGACAAUUCAGAAUCAAGUUUACUGAUCCAUCAGCUUGGGCGAGACAUCUCGAUUAACUGUCUCCUCCGUUGCUCAAGGUCUUAUUAUGGCAUCAUUGCAACUUUGAAUACGGGUUUCCACUCUCUUAUACGGAGUGGUGAGCUGUACAAGUUGAGGCGACAAAUGGGAAUUGUCGAACAUUGGGUUUACUUCUCCUGCAACCUUUUGGAGUGGGAGGCUUUUGAUCCAAUCCAUCGUCGAUGGAUGCAUAUGCCUAAAAUGCAGGCCUAUGAAUGUUUCAUGUAUUCUGAUAAGGAGUCAUUGGCUGUUGGAACCCAACUUCUGGUUUUUGGAAAAGAAAUAAUGUACCCUAUUGUCUAUAAAUAUAGCAUUUUGACGCACACAUGGACAACCGAGAUGAGGAUGCAUACACCCAGGUGCUUGUUUGCAUCUGCUAGUCUGGGUGAGAUCGGAAUUAUAGCUGGUGGUUGUGAUCUGCGUGGAAAUAUUUUGAGCUCAGCAGAGCUUUAUAAUUCUGAAACUGGCAGGUGGGAGACCAUUCCAAGAAUGAAUAAGGCUAGAAGAAUGUGUUCUGCGGUGUUCAUGGAGGGGAAGUUUUAUGUUAUUGGUGGCAUUGGGGUUGAGAGUUUGAAGACAAUAACAUCCGUAGAGGUGUAUGAUUUGAAGACCAAGACUUGGAGUGAGAUACCUAACAUGUACCCUACACCAAACGAGGGGGCUGGACCAACAGAAGAACCUCUUACAGCUGAGGCACCUCCUCUAGUGGCAGUUGUGAAUGAUGUGUUGUAUGUAGCUGAUCAUGUACUGAAGCAAGUGAAGAAAUAUGACAAGGAGAAGAACUUGUGGGUAACGGUAGGGCCAUUCCCUGAGCGUACAACCUCAAUGAAUGGGUGGGGGAUAGCAUUUAGGGCAUGCGGGGAUCAGCUAAUGAUUAUUGGAGGACCUAGGGUUUUAGGUGCAGGGUUUGUUGAGAUCUACUCUUGGGUCCCAAAGGAGGGGCCACUAGAAUGGAACUUGGUCGCCAGAAAGCCCUCUAGCAGUUUUGUGUAUAACUGUGCCGUCAUGGGAUGCUGACAUGUGCAUCUAGUUUCGGUGGCACCCUGGUUUUGCAUAAAGUCUUUUUCUGCUACAACCCACAGACACAGUCAUAAGAGGAGGUUUGAAGAUUUCGGCCCUUCUUAGUUUUAUUAUGUUUUGUAACUUUCCUUCCAUUUUCUUUGUUGUUCCUUUUGUUGAGUGGUUGCCAUCAGGGUUUGUUAAAGUUUGUGUUAUGUAGAACAAAGCAUAGUUCCAUAACAAAGUCCAAUUACAUUUUAGACUGUUUUCAAUGUUAAGGAAGUUUCUUUCGACCAAAUAUUAGUCUCGAGCAAUUAUUGAACACACACAUAUUUAUAACAGUUUACCCAUUCCAUACUCUUUUCCUCUAGGGAAAGAAAAAGAUAGAAAAGAUGUAUGAUCAUGAAAAGCUUAAUCCUUUCCUCCAGUGAGAGGGAGCAGUAGCGGGAGGGAGAAGAUGGAGAGAGAGACCGGGGGGGGAGGGACGUUUUGUUAAUAUAAUUUUUUAAUUAAUUUUUAAAAUUUUUAGUAUUUUUUUCAUUCAAUAUUAAUAUAAAGUUUGCCUCAUAUUAUAUUUUAGUCACUUAUAUUUGAAAUGUUAGAUUUUAGUCACGUAUGUUAUGGUUUUAUUACCCCCUAAACAACAAUCCGACAUGGAAGAUAAAAUGGGUUUUAAAUGCCAACGUGGAUAUUCACUCAAGUAAAUUAAAUGAUUUUUUAAUUAAUUAAAUUUAAUUAAUUAAAUUUUCUAAAUUAAUUAAAGGAAAAUGUUAAUUAGGGUUCUCGAAAUAAUCAAAACGAAUGCAUCAGAUUAAUCAUUGAAUUGGAAGAAAAAAAACUCUUUGUCUCAUUUAUUCUUAGUUUUCGUUUCCAUUUUGAUUGAAAAAUCAUCUAUUUUCAUAGUCAUCUUUGUUAAAUCGAAACAAUAGAAAUAAAAGUGAGUGCUCCAUCAAUCGAUUGAAGUUUUUAUUCAAAACAAAAGAACAAAGGAUUGGUUCGAUGGAGGGUCCAAACAUGAAUUACAGUAAGUAAUGAGUUUUUUUUUUUUUGGUUAUUUACUUGAAUUUUGGGUUUAGAUAUUAUGAUUUUAUUUUAUUUUUGCAAAAAUAUGGUCCAUCUUUUCAUGUUUUUCUGUAGAUAUGAUAGACAAAAAAAGAGAUGCUUUAUUUUUGUUUAUUUAUGUAUUGUAGGCAACCACAAUCGCAAGCAAUUAGUAUAGAGGUUGGUGCGUCCAUUUCUUCUUCUUCUUCUUCUCUAUAGUUUUGCUCUUCUCUUAUCUUCUCUGACUGUAACAAAGAAAACUCAACUAUUGCUUCUUUUUAAACUGGAGAAAAUUGAGUUUUAGGGUAAAAUUUUGUAUUCUAUUUUCAUAAAAAAAUUAACUUUUCUCAUUCCAGUUGGACAUCUGCGUUGGCAUUUAAAACCCAUUUUAACUGUCACGUCGGACUGCCUUUUGGGAUGUAACAGAUCUUAACUGUAGAGUGACCAUUUUGAAACAAAAUGAUAACGUAAGUGACUAAAAUGUAACCCGAGACAAACAAAAUUGACUAUUUUAAUAGUUUACCCGAUUUUUUAAUGAUACGUAUCAUUUUCUAAUUGACUAUAAAAUCAACCUUAAUUAUGGAAAUAAAAUUGAUCUAGUUUCAACCAAAAAAAUAAUAUCAAUUGCAUGAAUACAUUUUCUUUUUAUAUAUUAAGUAAUUAAUGGUUCUUUGAAAUAAUUUUUUUAACACAAUAUCUAGAAUUAUCUAUAGCCCUCUUCAACUCAUAAAUAGGAGGAUAAUACAUUUCAGCACACUCGAACCCACAUCCUCCUGCAUUGGGAACAAUAUCCAUGGUAAUCGAAUUAAGACUCAAUUUGAAUAUUAACAUUUUUAUUAUAGUCAUUUUAUUUUUUAUUUUCAAUUUAAAAAAAAAUAAAUUUGAGUAUAUCAUCGAAACUUUGAAAAUGUAAGGGUAAACUACAAUCACCGCGCUCCCUUUACUUCAAGCAUAACCACCGUACAAACUAAGAAUUUAACAAAAUAAGCAAAUCUUCUCCUGAUUUCUAUCUAACCAGAGACGAAAAUCCAUGCCUCUCUUGCGUGUAUGUGUGUGUGUUUCCAGUUUGUGCUUCUUGAUGGUGAGGGUAUUAUGUUUUUUUUCCUGGUUUAUGUCAUUCUAACACACAUACAAUCAAGAGUUUUCUGGAAAACUAUGAUACCUUGCAAAAGUAUGAGUUUUUGAGUUUUGCUUGCAGUUUUGACAUAGGGAUACCUGCUUCACUCCUUUCUAUUUUCUUUUUUGUGAGAUUAAAUUUCUCUUUUUUCUUUGCAUGCAUUUCCUUUUAAAAAAUAUGAAUCUAGAAAGAUUUAGAAUUUCUUUUUACCUAAAGCUUAAGUUUUUCCUUAUAUAUUUUAUGAUGGUUUUUAUUGGGUUUUAAAUCUCCAAUUUUUUUUUUUUAAAUAGCAGUAUUUUUCUUGAAUUUGUUUUUAGAUUUUUCUUUUUUCUUUGCAUGCAUUUUUUGGCGUCACCACUUCUUAACAAGUCAACGCUUUUUUUUAUUUUAUUUUAAAAAUAUAUUAUUUUAGUUGUUUUUUUUUACUUUUUAAAUUAAAAAAUGUUAUUUUAGUUUAAGAAUAAAAAAUAGUAUUUAAUUUGGUAGAGUCCUUAAGAAUGAUGUCACCAAUGUUAUAGGUGUUUUUUUUAAAUGUAUUUUUUUAAUUAAAAAUAAAAAAAUGAUAUUUUGUUCAAGACCCACAGUAUUGUGUCUUACAACAUUAUGUCUUAUAAAUAAAACAUAAUUAAACGAUUUUGUUCAAAACCGACAACAUUGUGUUUUACAAAUUGAAAAAUACAAUGUUUAACCGCAAGUCAACCAAGCAAGUUUCUCAGUGCUAUUAAAUUGUAGUCUGGAUGCUGUCGAUAUUGAUGAUCUCACCCGUGUGGUUCGAUUUGGGAUUCCUUAAAACCUUCAAACAUCCCAUUGACAGAAGGAAUCCCAAAUAAUCCACCCGUCGUUGGCUGUAUAACCAAUUUGAACCCUUUACUAUCUUAACAUAGCCAAUGGAACACUUACAUAACCAAUUUGAACUCGUUACCAAAUAAAUAACUGGUAUCCAAAAAUAACCAUUAAAUUUAUCGGUGUCGAAGCUCCACUAGAUUAUCAUUAAACAAAACUUACCUUCAAAGUAAAAAAAAUCACUAAAUAAACAAAUACAUAAAUACAUAAAAAAAAUGCUCAUCAUCUCUCCCAUUCAUCCUCUAACAAAAUAUAAGUAAAAAAAAAAAAAAAAAGUUUCCUUCAACUGAGAUUGAUCUGCAUUGAGGGUUAUAUAUAACAAUUUAGUCAUGCCAAAGAAAAUUGUUCUAUCAAGUAAAAUAUUAUUUUUUUAUAUUUAAAUUAAUAAAAAAUAAAAAAAUAAAAAAAGGUACCGCGCACAUUAGUGGCGCCAUUUUAAAUGGAGCCACCCAAUAAAAUAAUAUAUAUUUUAAUUAAAAAAAGGCGUCUAACAUGUGAAAAAGUGGUAGCGUAAUUCUUAAUGGCUCCAUAAAAAAAAUUAUAUUUUAAAAGCCCCCAAUUUUUUAGAAAUAGCAGCAUUUCCCUAGUAUUUAUACAGGUGAAGCCAUUUUACAUGGCUCCACCAAAAAAUGAAUUUUUUGUUGAGUUUGUUGAUGUGACAUGUUGGCGACGCCAAACUUUUUGGCUCCAUCAAUUUUUACUGUAAAUUUCAAGUUAUUUACAUGUAUGUAAUUAAUCAAAAUUUUAAUUUCAUUCGUAAAAGAAUUUCUAUAUAGAGAAUUUACUUACUCAAUUUAUGUCGAGUUUUGAUAUGUGGCUGAAUGGGACAAAUAAAUGACACGGAAGAGAGGAAACAAGCACAAUAGACAGAAGUAUUUGAGCGUUUCUAGAUUUCACUGCUUAGAAGAGUGUUUUUUCUUUCUACAAUCUACCAAUCCAUUGGCAUAUCCCAUGGCUAGUGGGAGUUUAAAACUAGUAUUACUUAUAACAUUAAACAAAUACAAUAUUAACUCAAAUGAUUGAAUUAACUAACCAAAACCCAGAAGAAAGAAGAAUUAUUCAAACCCAUACUAAUAAACUAUGAUUUAAAAAUAAUAUUAAAAAUUAAGAUAGUGAUGGUCCCUUUAGGUCCAAUAUCAAGCCCAAUUUAAAGUCAACCCGGAGUUGGGUUGACCCGAUACCCAUCCAAAUUCGACUCGUUUCUUUCUUUUGCUAACAAUCCACUCAGUAUCUCCUCCAUGGAAGCAUCGAAUCCGUCCAUCUGCUCCACUUUGUCUCUCAUCUCCAUCCAAUCCUGAACAUCGAAAUUCCCUAUUUACCCUCCUCGCCCUAUCAAAUUUCCCCCAUCGCCCGAAUUUUCCAUGGCUUGACCCGGAAAUCCGACUCAAAUGGACUCUCUGCAAAGUCUCCCUCCACUAUCGACUCUGUCCACCUCAGUUUCCUCCGCCCUCAACGCUAAACUCGGC